rnacentral:rRNA from 1 species
UACGGGGGGAGCAAGCGUUGUUCGGAUUCAUUGGGCGUAAAGGGUGCGUAGGCGGCUUGGCAAGUCUGACGUGAAAUGUACCGGUUCAACCGGGGCGCUGUGUCAGAAACUGCCUUGCUAGAGGUCGAGGGAGGAGAGUGGAAUUCCUGGUGUAGCGGUGAAAUGCGUAGAUACCAGGAGGAACACCCGUGGCGUAGGCGACUCUCUAUCUCGAUUCUGACGCUGAGGCACGAAAGCUAGGGGAGCAAACGGG